CUACGGGAGGCACCAGUGGGGAAUAUUGGACAAUGGGCGCAAGCCUGAUCCAGCAAUGCCGCGUGAGUGAUGAAGGCCUUAGGGUUGUAAAGCUCUUUCGGCGGGGACGAUGAUGACAGUACCCGCAGAAGAAGCCCCGGCUAACUUCGUGCCAGCAGCCGCGGUAAUACGAAGGGGGCGAGCGUUGUUCGGAAUUACUGGGCGUAAAGGGCGCGUAGGCGGCGCACCAAGUCAGGCGUGAAAGCCCCGGGCUCAACCUGGGAACUGCGCUUGGGACUGGUGUGCUUGAGUUCGGGAGAGGAGAGUGGAAUUCCCAGUGUAGAGGUGAAAUUCGUAGAUAUUGGGAAGAACACCGGUGGCGAAGGCGGCUCUCUGGACCGAAACUGACGCUGAGGCGCGAAAGCGUGGGGAGCAAACAGGAUUAGAUACCCGGGUAGUC
rnacentral:rRNA from 1 species